GUUUCUAUGGUGAAAUUGGUAGACACGAAAGACUCAAAAUCUUUUACUCUUAGAGUGUGCUGGUUCAAGUCCGGCUAGAAACA
rfam:Nannochloropsis gaditana mitochondrion, complete genome.